rnacentral:rRNA from 1 species
UACAGGGGGGGCAAGCGUUGUUCGGAAUUACUGGGCGUAAAGGGCCAGUAGGCGGCCAACUAAGUCCGACGUGAAAUCCCCAGGCUUAACCGGGGAACUGCAUCUGAUACUGGAUGGCUUGAGUUUGGGAGAGGGAUGCGGAAUUCCAGGUGUAGCGGUGAAAUGCGUAGAUAUCUGGAGGAACACCGGUGGCGAAGGCGGCAUCCUGGACCAACACUGACGCUGAGGAGCGAAAGCCAGGGGAGCAAAGCGGG